rnacentral:rRNA from 1 species
GAUCAGGCUGUUGGUGAGGUAAUGGCCCACCAAACCUGUAACCGGUACGGGCUCUGAGAGGAGGAGCCCGGAGAUGGGCACUGAGACAAGGGCCCAGGCCCUAUGGGGCACAGCAGGCGCGAAACCUCUGCAAUAGGCGAAAGCUUGACAGGGUUACUCUGAGUGAUUUCCGUUAAGGAGAUCUUUUGGCACCUCUAAAAAUGGUGCAGAAUAAGGGGUGGGCAAGUCUGGUGUCAGCCGCCGCGGUAAUACCAGCACCCCGAGUGGUCGGGACGUUUAUUGGGCCUAAAGCAUCCGUAGCCGGUUCUACAAGUCUUCCGUUAAAUCCACCUGCUUAACAGAUGGGCUGCGGAAGAUACUAUAGAUCUAGGAGGCGGGAGAGGCAAGCGGUACUCGAUGGGUAGGGGUAAAAUCCGUUGAUCCAUUGAAGACCACCAGUGGCGAAGGCGGCUUGCCAGAACGCGCUCGACGGUGAGGGAUGAAAGCUGGGGGAGCAAACCGGAUUAGAUACCCGGGUAGUCCCAGCUGUAAACGAUGCAGACUCGGUGAU